UAAAGAAGUGCUGGACGUUGCUGAUCGUCAGGAAGCCGAUACGCGCCGUGUCGCCAACGGACGCACACAGGACACCAUUAACGUCAAUUUGCGCGCCUGAUAUUUUUUAUUUUUAACAACAUAUAUUCCUAAUAAAAACAAGACGCUUUGCACGUUUUGAAGUGAUGUACGGAGUUUAUGAGCAAUGAAGUUACCGAUUUAUCUGGACUAUUC
rnacentral:sRNA from 1 species